UACGUAGGGGGCAAGCGUUGUCCGGAUUCAUUGGGCGUAAAGAGCUCGUAGGCGGUUUGUUGCGUCGGCUGUGAAAACCUGAGGCUCAACCUCAGGCCUGCAGUCGAUACGAGCAGACUAGAGUGUUGCAGGGGAGACUGGAAUUCCUGGUGUAGCGGUGAAAUGCGCAGAUAUCAGGAGGAACACCAGCGGCGAAGGCGGCGCUCUGGGCCGGUACUGACACUGAGGAGCGAAAGCGUGGGGAUCAAACAGG
rnacentral:rRNA from 1 species